rnacentral:misc_RNA from 1 species
GUAGGUGAACCUGCGGAAGGAUCAUUAUCGAGUAUAAAAAGGUGAUGUCUGGCAAUUCGUUGUCCAGUCAUUGCCAUGACCCAUUUCACACGUGCAUCAGCUGGCUCUAGGGUCAGCGGAUUAUUUUUUCUUCUAUGCGUCUCUGACAUAUAAUGGUGAAUGUUGUAUGCAACAUUUCACUAAAAACUUAUAAAUCAAAACUAUGAACAACGGAUCUCUUGGCUCUU